GAGCAUUCUGUGAGUUCUCUGGUUGCCAUCAGCACCUGUACUGCUCCACACUAGCACUUCCAGAUGAGCUGGAGGGCAACAAAAUUAGAACUUGGACAGCAAAAGACAAAAAUUAAACUCUUGUCAGUGGUCUGGUAAAUGUAAUUUUGGAAAAUAUGCCUAUAACAUAAAGGAUACUUCUAUAAAUUUAUUCUUAUGUGCUAGAAAAGCUCACCUCAUGUCCCUAUAGAUAAAAAAGCUGGUUCAGCCUGAAUUGAGUCUACAGAUUUUGAAUGUACAUCUUGGCUGAGGUCUAAGAGUAACACUGAUGCUAUGAGCCUGGCUAUCACAAGUCCUUCCCUGGAGAAAAUGAGGUUGAUAUACACCCAGGGACAAGGGAGAAGAGAUGGCAACUGCCAGAGCUGCUCUGAGAUGACUACAGUCAAUCUUAGCACCAGAGUAAGACCCCCACCUUCCUGUUCGACAUCCCCUGCUCCUGCAGUCCAAGGGCUUGUUUUGCCUGGCUCCAUGGCUAUUUUCCCACCUAGAAAUGUGCAUGCUGAAUGUGGUAAGGAUUGAAAAAACUGUUAUAAAGCUUAUUUUAUCUCUCUGCUUCUCUCAAAGCAUGUUUUAAAAUUUAAUAAAUUGAGCUUUCACAUUUUUUUCCCUUCUUUCCAGGGGGAACAGUGAACACAAUAAAACUAUUAAGUAGUGCUUUGAAUCUAAGGAAUUACGCAAGCGAUGGGAUGCUCCUCCCUAUGUCAGCUGUGUGGGGAAGGGGUUUGGUGCUCAGGAUGAGCCUCCCACUCCUCCUGUACACCCAUUAGGAAGGUUUGGACCUUAAAAGCAGUGUGAUUUCAGUGUGGUUUCCACCUGGCACUCUUGGAAGUACCAAGUGACUUUGUUGGGUGAGGAUCAUUCAACCUAGGUUAAGCUUUGUGCCCCAGGCUGUGGUCCUAAACUAGGUGGUUCCUGAUGUGCCAACAGCUGGAGUAUCUUAACAAUAUAAAUUCUGUCUGAAGGAAGGCACAAGGUGGUACAUAUAAGGAGUUCUCCAGAAGCGCUGUAUGGUCUUCAUGUUGGCUUAAUGUAUACACCAACUCCCUGUUGUACCUUCUACUUGUCCAGCAGUUUAGGACUGUUCUGCUGCACUGAGAAGAUAUUAGGGGCUGACUUCCACAGAGACUUUCUCCACAGACCAAUGUUGUCCAGAAAGAGCAUCUACAAAAGCACCACACUCCUUGCCAUGAAUUGCAGCUCUGCAAAGGUACUGGACCGUAUUCAAGUACCCCUGUGGCAGGAUGCUGCAGCUAGGCAGCAUUCCUGCCUAGGAAAAUGCAGCUGUGGAGUUCUCUCCUUCUCAGAAGGGACCACGAGACUGAGUGUGUUAAAGUUACAUUAUUAACCAUGGUGUUUGAUGACAAAGACAUGGCGCUGUUGGGCAGCAGCACCACAGUGCUGGGUGCAGGAGAAGAGGGUGUGCCACAGACAGGAGACGACAUUUGGGAAGGAGUUUUAGCUGAAAGACUGUAACAAUCCCACUCUUUGCUUGAUGGGAAGCCAACCUAAGUGUGAUUUUGCCUGAAAGGAAAAGUGGUGCUAUGAACUUUUGUAAACUGAUGAUCUUUUUCUCCCAUCUAGUCAGUUUGCUCCUGGAAAGUCUGUA